rnacentral:rRNA from 1 species
UACGUAGGGGGCGAGCGUUGUCCGGAAUUAUUGGGCGUAAAGAGCGUGUAGGCGGUUCGGUAAGUCUGCCGUGAAAACCUGAGGCUCAACCUCGGGCGUGCGGUGGAUACUGCCGGGCUAGAGUGCGGAAGAGGCGAGUGGAAUUCCUGGUGUAGCGGUGAAAUGCGCAGAUAUCAGGAGGAACACCUAUUGCGAAGGCAGCUCGCUGGGACGUAACUGACGCUGAGACGCGAAAGCGUGGGGAGCGAACAGG